UGAAAAUUAGUUUAAUUAAAACAUUAGCUUGUCAAGCUAAAGAUAUAUCUAUAUUUUC
rnacentral:tRNA from 1 species